GAACCAAUUUUGGUGAAAAUCAAUACAAUGGGUCAGCGAUCCGGGCAAGCUAUAGCUUGUUUGAACCGUCUUUUAAUUCUGAGAAAUAGGGAUCUUUUACUCUUUCGGUUAAUUCCCCAUUUUCGGAGUGAGCACGUGAAAAGUGAUUGCAUGUCAAAGGGUGGUAAAAACAGUUUUUUUUGUGAUAGCUCCAGAUAGACAUGUUUCUAAAAGUUGAAAUUUUGUAGGAAUAUAGGCCUUUGACAGACCUUCAUAAAAAGUAUAAUCAUCCGUAAAGGCCGCUGCCCGUUCUGGACUUAUGACUCCAAAUAUGGUCAAUGUUUGGACAGUCCUGCUGGCUUGCAACAGAACUUUUCCGCGGAACUAGCCAUAGGGCCUCUUUCGUUCCAUGUAUAAUAAUCCCUAGAAAAAUUGUGUUGCAAGCCAUAAAGUUAGUUGAAGUAAAAUCUCUGCCCAGUAGACUCAUAUUUUUCCGUGUUUUCAACUUGUUUUUGGUCUUCAAACAGGAUGGUGCGAUGGAAAUGAAAUAAAGUAAAGUGAAACAUUCAAUAUGAAAAUC